UUUCCUCUAUAAAGCAUCUGUGUAACAGUGGGACUCUUCUUCCUCUUUCAAAGCCCCACUCAAAUGUCCCUUCUUCUCUGCAGCCUUCCGUUGUCUCUGGCUCCCACAAUCCUUUGCUCACACCUCUUGCUUUGAUAUAUCAAUUGGCCUUUCCCGUUUCUGGGUAUGUGCUCCUAGCUUUGCCCUGAGGUGGAGCUCCCUGAGGGCUGGGAGAGUGGUUGUCUUUUUCCUGGUAGAAGGAGGACUGGUCUUCUCUGAUGCGUUUAGGGCUCUCUUAUCCCUACGCCAGCACUGUCCCUUUGUUCUCCGUGGUGUGCUGAAUCUGCACUGAUGCAUAGAGACUGGGGUGUUCUCUGGGAAUGGUUUCCAGGGCUGGGUGGCUUCCAGGGCAUACCAGACAUUGUUAAGCCCAUGGUGGGUGGGGUUGGAAAGAGACUCCUGAGACACACUUAGCACUCAGCCUCCCUCUCCACAUGGGAAGGAUGGUGGCUUGCUUCCACCCCACUGGCCCUCCCAAAUCUAAUGUGUUUAAUCUUCCACAAGUUCCACUCAUUAACUGCCCCCUAAAACAAUAAUUAUGCACCCCAUUUUAAAGGGAAGUGAUCCUUAUAAGCAUCAUCUCCUACGCAUAGUGACUCUCACACUGCUGGUGUUGUGACAGCUAGUAAAAAGGCCUGGUAAUAUGUGGGUUUCUGGUUUUUGUUUUUCUACCUUGAGGGAACAAAGGCUCCCUCAAAUGAGAUACCAAGAAUCUCAAAAGAGCCAACAGAACAAUAGAGACUUUGUUACAGACACCUAGGAAGGGUUAUCCAACAAGAACAAGCCAGUCUGGUUGUUGUUAGAACUUUCAGCAGCUUCAAAGGUGGGGAUGGCCAGGAGUGUGUGUCCACUGUUAAGGAUGGAUGCUGCCACCCUAGGCCAAGCUGAGCAAGCAGCACAGACACCACUGAGGGUCCCCCAGCACCUUUCACCAGAGCUCUCCUGUGUGCAACCAAAGCUCAUUAAAAAUGUGUGCUGCCAACUUCAUUAUACAACAUGACUUCUGUCCAUAACUAAAAAGCCUGUACCUAAAUUUCCUUUCUUGUCAUUCGUUGGUCGGACACUUUAGAUUCUGCCAACACCAGGUUUGAGUUGGCUGGUUUAUUAGUUACCCUCCUCCCUUCUCUGCACUCCAACCAGAAAACCUCUCCUCUAACUACAUCUAGCUACCACAGAACACCCAGGGACACUAACUUCAUGUAGCUCUCUCUGGUUGGCUUGGUGCCCAAGAGCACCAUGGGAAAGACCUUGGCAGUUGGGAUUCAGAUGCUGACAGUUGUAACUGAUGGGCUAAGCUUGGGACUUUACUGAUGAGUCAAGUUCCUGAGAAAAAAGCAACCAAAGCAGCUGCCUGAGCAUCAUCACUGAGCCCAAGAAGCCAGCAGCUGUAGAUUGAAACCAGAAGCCAAAAGGAUUUGGAGUAAGAGUUGUGUGAUGGUGAAUCUAAACUGCCGAUCUGAUGGGGCCUAGUAUCACCUGUAAUACUGGGCCUGCCUGUGGUGGUUAUCUUGACUGGGUUAACUGAGAGAUUUAUUACUUGUCCAUGCUGUAGACUGUGCUUGCUGCCGAGGGGCGGGGCAGCCCUGCGACAGACAUGGCACCCUUCAUGCUGAAGUGGCCUGCUUUACAGAGGGCUUCACCCCCACCUGCGUAGUUACAGGGCAGAAAAGAAACUCAUUUUGGGAGAGAAGAGUGGGAUAGGAGGAGGUGGCCACGAAGCCUGAAGCAGAAAGACACAGAUGCCCAGACAGUGAAACGCCACAUGUUGCUGGUGACGAAACUAAAAAACUUAGAAAGCCAAGAUGUUGACUCUUGCUAUCUGAUGCAUACCUAUGGCCUGGGUGUCAGCUGCACUUGGUGUACAGUUUCCUGUGCCCCACAUCUCAGGAACAAAGGACAGGACCAAGCCUCCAUGAGAGAACCAGGGUGUUAUAGUCAUCUGGGGGCGAGACAAAGAGGCUGGAUACAAGGAAGAAGGCAGCGGAGAGUCUGGACAGAAGCAGAAGCAGGAAUGGAUGAAACAAGAAGGUUGCUGUGGCCACCAGCUCCACCUGCCCAGCCCGGACUGCAGACAAGGCUCUGGAAGGACAGACAACACACUAAUGACAAGUGUCCUUUGGAAAGCUGGAACAGACUCUGCCCUAAUAAAUGAGUGGCCUGUGGCUGGGAUGGCA